CAAAAACUGCAAGCCCCACUAACCUGAUGACGAUAUUUUCACACCUGCAAUAGCAAUAACCGUUGGCAUCAUCAUAAAAGAACAUACAAAUUAUGAAAGUACUUUCAAGUUUAUAGGCCAUGGACACAAGUAAAUGUCGGAACUGAAACAAAGAACUAUUCAUAGACCAACUAGAUGGCUGAAUAUUUUGAAACUAAGCUUCCAUUUAUUUUGCGAAAAAUAUUUUCUAUAUUUUCUAAUAUUUAGAGCACUUACAAAAUGAAUCAAUGAAAAAUAUUUUUCUAAUCAAAGGGAAAAUCAAGUUAUUUGUAAGAUUCAUUUUCUGAAUUUUGACAAUCUUAUUAAGAUGUGAAAACACUUAUACAUGUAU
rnacentral:misc_RNA from 1 species